UAUAAUUAUUUACUAAUGGGAAGUGACAGAUGAUGACUAUUUAUGCUGAGUCUGGGUGCUUGAUUGCUACCUUUACAUGUCUAAGAGAAGUUGCUUUUUAGGACUGGCUACAAGUUGUAGCUACCUCAUGGAUACAAAUGCAAUAUAGGGUUUAAGAAAGUAGUGAGAGAAGUAGUAGUAAUGUAUCAUUAAUAAUAUCCAGACAUCUUAAACAACAGCUGAUGUCUAAUCUUAGUCAGGCAAAGAUAGUGAGGAUGAAUCAAAGAAUCAUUUUUUUUCCAUGUUGUCCUAUAACAUGAUCAUAUUAAAAGCAGAGUCUAAAAAUUUAUUUUUAGUUUUUUGAAAGCAUUGCCACCCUGAGACUCUUCAUUUCAACCAAUUCUGUUCUGUUUUUCAAGUUCUGCAUUCUCAGGCAGAUACCUCGUUGUUACGUCAUAGAGCAGUAAGUAUGCUUGUGAGUAGUUGCCAAACAAAAGGCUGUUUAAAGUAACAAAAAAUGGAUAAUGCUGGAUUAAGCCUUCUACUUGGAAUGAAAAGCAAAGCUGUCUUCUUUUUGGUUUUUUUUUUUGUUAAUUUCCAAUAGGAAUUUGCUCAUUUUUCCCUCCCAUUACUUAAAAAACAUUUCCUGAAAAGCUUGACUAGCUGUUUUUACAACAGAAUUCUUUGAUUUUUGUAGUUUUAUUUUCUUUCUUUUUACCGUCUUCCACAUCCUAUUCAGGGUAGUAUUAUUUUGUCUGUUUGUUUUUUGUUUGGGUUUCUUUUUGAAGUUGACUAUAUGUUUGAGUGGCACACAGGUUCCAUCAUUUCUGCAUGCAUGCCUGCUUAUCCUUCAUUCUGCUAUUCUGUAAUUUGAAAGUGUUGUCUAAUAACUUUUAGAAAAGUAACUGAUGGAUAUAAGAAAACUGAGACUCUGGUUUUAUCACUGUAACUCUUUCCAAAAUUUGAAAGUUAUUGAAAAAAUAUGGUGUGACAAAGCAAAACAUCAAAGCAGUAGUAAAUGAAACAGAAAAGAAAAUAAACUGGAUGGGGGAUAUAAACAUGAAUAUUAUAAAUUUUCUGCCAUUCUAAGGCAGAAAGGAAAAAGUGAGAGAAAUAAAGAAAAAACACAAAAUACUGUAAUCACAGUAAUUUCCAAUGUCUGUGAAAAUAUUAACAAAUAAAAACACAUCAUUUUUCAACAGAAACAAUGUAACAUAUUUGACAGAAGAGGCAUUUAACACUUUUUUUUUAAUCUGUUUAACCACUACAAAGGAAAAAAAGAUACAGAAAUUAAUGACAUUUUGUGAUUUUCAAAAAAAAAACAGAAAACAUAUUUUAUAUACUUUCAGUACUUUAUGCAAUAUUAACAACAGAUAUCUGAAAAAAAUAACAGAAAUAAACUUUAUUAGUAGCAGAUUUGAUUUUUUAUUUGUUGUGACAUUGAACCUAAUAUCAAAUUAAAAUUGAAAAAGUUAAAGAAGAAUCAACUUGAGGGGAUGAAAGUUCUUUUUCUUGCUUCCUAAUAAUCUGAAAUUCUUUCUCAGAAAUCUCCUCUAAUUCAUCCAAUGCCCAUCUGUGUGUGUGAAGAAAAGGAAAAGAAAAAAAAAAAAAAAAGAAAAGAAAGAAAGAGAAGUUGAAAGAAUAAUAAAAGGACAUAAUCACAGCCUUCAGUAGAACAAGCUUGACUGGCUGCUUCAAGAAGCAGCCAUCAGAAUACACGCAGGAUAUGAGAAAAAGGAACACCUCAGGGUUUAUUGGUAGCCUUCCUCCAGCACAAAUCAUUCAAGUUGGAAAAGACCAUUAGGAUCACUGAAACUGAUCAUUAACCUAACACUAUCAAGUCCACCACCGAACAACGGCCCUAAGCAACAGGUCUAUACAUCUUUUAAAUACCUUCAGGGAUGGUGUUUCAACCACUUCCCUGGGCAGCCUGUUCCAGUGUUCAAUUUAAGAUACAUCAUGCAAAAACAUGGAAGAAGAGUUACACAAGGAAUUUUUGCCAGUCAAUUCUCCUUUUACUUUUUCAGAAUGACAAAAAUGUAACAGAACAAAAUAAUUAUGAGUUAUUUUUCCCAUGGUAAGUCUGAAAUUUCAGUGACCUGAAUUCAUUUAUUUGCCAUAACUACUAAAAAAAAUAAGUUUCCUGAUUUAGUGAUUAGCUGUGUAUGUAUGCUGACAGUGUUGUUUUUUGUGCCUUUUAGAGCAAUUCAUUCACCAAUGACUCUACUGGUAAAAUACAGUCUGGAUUUGGCCAUUAGUCAAGCUAAAAGCGGUUAGUUAGGUUUUGGUUGGUUGGUUGGUUGGUUUUGUCCUCAAAUAGUGCUUCUGGUAGCUUGAUCAUACUUGAUGAUUUUCAAUGGUCUCAUAUAAACUUGUAGGAUUUGGAGGAAAAACCAUAUGAUGAACACCACUAGAACAGAAAGUAUCAGAAAGAAAAGAAAUGUACCAAGACCAAAGAAUCUAGUUCUGCCUUCUGCAAUAUAUAUAUCAAUUUCACUGGCCCAUAUGAAUGGUCGUAUAGCUUUGCAAAAAAAAAAGUUUUCAUUUCUCACUAGUUAUAUUUCUAAGACCUAAGUGUUAUGACUUAUGAAUCCCUAUUUUUAUUUAGCUUGUAAUUUUUCUAUUAUCAUUUUUUUUUCUAGUCAUCUUUACAGCUUUUCAUCUUAUUUCUGUGUUCUUCACAAAUGGAGCUGUGCAGAAGACUUCUGGUACAGAAGCCAUAGAUCACUCUGUGAUCAUGGAUAGACUUUCUGUGCCAAUCUCUAAUAGACAAUUAGGAUUUGUACAACAGUCAGACCAUGUAUUGUACACAACAACCUGAAGCAAGCACUUACGUUAUACAGGGAGCAUCAAACAGCUGUGCAUCUAAAGUAAGCUUUUUGUUCAAGGUCACACCUUGAGAAAUGCAUUUCAAUAAGAAAUCCAUUUUUAUUAAGUUCAGCAUAUGCCUAAGUGUUUUGCUAACUGAAACAAGGCAGAUAAUGAGCCUUUUCCUUUCUGUUUGUGUCACUUAACUGUUUUUUAAUUUUUUUUUAAUGAAAUCUCUCUGGUUGAAUGUUCACCUCCUCAUAUAUGCCCACAUAGCAAAGCAGCUUUGACAACAGGAUUUUAGGUGAUAGUGUAACACAUAAGUGUGAUUAUCGAUAUAUUAUACAAAACUAUAUGCAGGCUCCAGGAAUAUAUACUGCUUGAAAUCAGGAAUUGUUUGAAAGAUUUUCAGAUAUUUCAUUAUUUAAACAAUGGCAUUCCCAGAAAUCUUCUAAAGCUUCUUAUAAGUGGCUACUAUCUCAUACCCUUAUGGAGAAAUAGCUGAUAGUGUAUUAGCAGAAUAAACCAUUUUUCUAGUACUGCAGAUAAAAUUUCAUAUGUGUGGAAAAAUAAAUAACACAGGAAAGAAAAUGAAACAUUUACCAAUUCAUCUCCCCAUUACUUAUAAAACAGCACCUUGUAGAAAUUAUUAAAAAUCAAUUCAUUCUCAUGUAAAGAUGACUGUUCCUGAAAUUGCCUAGGUCAAGAAAAUGUUGGCUUAUCUGAGGUAUACAUGCCAUUAACUUACAUAAUUGAUGGCUUAUGAGAUACCUUAGGAGUCCACUUUUAAAGUAAAGAGAAGUGAAAAAUGUAUUUGGUACCUUAAUAGGUGAGGACGCCAUACAGAUAUGCUAGCUAGGCAUAAGGAAUCAGAAAUAAUAUAGCACAGUGUAGGAGGGUUAUGCUCUGACACUGAAUUUGUGGUUGCCAUGGAAACCUGUAUCCCACCAACACACUGUGCAUAGAAAGCUCCCAUAGGAACAGUUUAGCCAUUUAUUUUCUAUAGCCUGUUUUAACCUUUGACUUACUGUCUGAAGGAUCCUCACUAGAUUUACAACUUUGUCCUCUAUAGCAAGUGACCUACAGGAUAACAGAAGAACUGUUAAUAACACCAAUUCAGCAGUGUGAAUACCAUUACAGCCCUCUUGCUACUUCAGCUUCCAGGCACAUGGAGGAAUACUUGUUUUAAAACAAAACAAAACAGAACAGAACAAAACAAAACAAAACAAAAACAAAACAACAACAAUAAAACAAGCAAACAAACAAAAAACCAAAACCCCUCAGUACUUUGGUUUACAAACUUGAAAGUUAACUUUACCUGGUGCAGAAUUAUAAUUCUGACUUCGGUUCUGUGGAUGUAAGAGAUCUGGAUUUUAAAGGACUAAUAUCUUCAAAGGACCUAUAUUAAGGAUAACCCUCAGUGUUUGACUGGGCAAACUUAAUAAGAAACAAAAUGAACAUGGAAUUAUAUUCAGUGCUUUGUUUCAGAUAUAAUGUUGACAUCAUUAAGCUUAUGAUGAAUACUAUAAGAAAAAUAUAUAAGAUUAGUCCCGUUUUGAAAAUAUAGAUUUAUUCAUACAUUUAGCAUGGUUAUAUCAUUAAUUUUUGUAUGACAUUUAGAUGCUGAAAGUUAAGCACAUGAAUAAGAGUUCAUGGAACUUGUGUCUCAGUGUGUAUUUUCAUGACAAUGUAUCAUAGUUUUGCUUUUCCUUCUCAAAUGGCAGUUAAAUAUAAUGUAAUAUAAAGCUAAUUGAGACUAGAAAUAAAAAGUAAAACUCAUAUGAGAGACUUUCCAAGAACAUCUUGAAUGGCAUUCUGUAAAAUCAGCAGGAAAAAUUCAUUGUAUCUUAUUUUUGUAGCACCACUUUCUGUAUUAAAUACUGUGAUUGCAUUUCAUGCUGAAUAUUGAAUAUUGCAGCAGUGAAAAUCAGUCUCUCUUACAAUAUUGCUUCCUAAAAAAAAUACAACAUGAAUUCUAUUUGAUAGUCUGUCAGCUGUCUUUUUCACUAACAAACUAUAUCAUACCAGUUGAUGCAGGGUAUGUAGAUAUUAAUUUUUAAGCAAUGGUUUGAUAGGGUAGGAUUGAAAAAAUAUUUCUAAUAUCAUGCACAAUGAUUAAAAAGUCUUUAAGAUCAAUCCCUCUUGCCUUUAUUGAAAGAGCUACAAAAGUGACAGAGUGUCUUAAUGAAGAGUCAGAUUUAUUAGAGUUGAAAUCUCUAUUCUAUUUUACUUAAUUAGCUUAGUCUGCAGAGAGAAGCUGCAGUCAGAGAAAUCUCUUUCUAGAAAAAAAAAAGAAAUCCUUGUCUCUAUUCUUGGAAAAGUAGUCAAAGUAGUGAAGUAGCUUUAAUUUGUUUAUGUUGUUUUAAUCUUAUGCUUAGUACAUUGUGGUUUCAUUCUCUCUUCACAUAUGUAUUUCCUUUUGCUAAUGUUAUCCAUCACUUAUUUCAGCCUCAGGUGUCACUUGCUAUAAUAUAUUGAGGCAAUUUUACAUAUCAUCCAGAAAAGGAAAGUCAGAGAAAACAAGAAAAUAAGCAGCUUUGCCUUAGACUCAGCUAAUGAAAAUACAGGCCUUUGCAGCUCACUGAAGACACGGAUCUCAGAAUUUUCUCAUCCAGGGAGAAACUUGUCCUUCCCAAGGUCUGGUCUUGGCACAUAAAACAAUCUGCCUUUUUAAUACUAUUUUUUAAAUUUUUAGUUUAAAUGUAUUUUUGAAUGUAUGUCAUAUAUUCCUCCUACAUUUAAAAUAAUAAAAAGUAAUACAAAAUAAGAGCAUUACUGGCAUGCUAUCAUUAACACUUCAUACCAAAUUCAACAGUGAUGUUACUAGUUAUUACCUCAAAGGCCUCAAAAUGAUGUCUGCAGUCUGUCAACAUUAUAUUUCUCCCAUAGUGCUACGUAAGAGGUCAGAAGAUCAUAGUACUGUUUCCGUACUUCUGUCUGACCGAAGUGUCGCACUGCAUUUAAGGAAAAGGUUGUUACUGCAUGUGUAUGCAUUUAAAAAGAUUCAGGUACUCUGCUUUUACACCUGAAUUACUCAAAUAAGUCCUGCUUUUGUCUCUGUGUGUGUAUGUCUGGCUUCAUGGAUGUCUUCCUGAGCAUCAGCAAAGUCAAGGAUGGGAGGCCCUUUGUAAACUAGAGGGGAAAGUGGCACUAUUCAUCUUGCAUUGGGAGCAGUGAAAAGCAACUACAAAUACAACAAUAAAUAAAUAAAUACAGCAGAUAAUACUAAAAUAAAUGAAUACAUCAAAUGCUAAAGUUACAACUUUUCCUCAUAAAAAGUUGAGUACCUAAGUCAGAGAUGUGGCUAAAUAGGACACAGAAACAGAUAUUAGAGCUCUUUUUUCCAGCCUAUCACCCUAAAAGUUGGGCUGCAGAGUUUUCAUUUUUCUCUUGGUUCAGCAGCUCUCUGACUAAACUGGCCAUGGUAAGUCCGGAAGAGCUUUUCAGCCCCGGUUGUAGGAUCCAUGUCUAGGUUACAUCCUGACCCAAGCAUGAGGAUAUACUAAAUACAUAUCAUCACCUGUCCUUGGCUGGGCUUCAAAGGGUGGAAAGCCUGAGCAUGUAAACCAAUUAAACAAAGCCUUUGACAUCUUAUUUUUAACAGUAUAACUCUGGUGCCAAUAUUCUAUGUGAAGAUAUGGCCUAAAAAACCCCAGGAAUUGCAAACUGCAGUGGGAAUAAAGAUGACAAAAUAUGUAUUUAAAUUAAUGAUGUGCUCAAAAAAUACAGUUAGCUGUAGCGUUAGUAUUUAUAUUAAAAAAAAAUGUACAAAGAUUAGAUACAACUUUAUCUAGCAAAAUGUAUCUUCUAGGGUGUGCUUGGUAUUUGUCCAAUGAAGCACCAUGAAGAAGUACCAAAAAGUUGCAAACAAACCAGCCCAAGAAAUCGAAGUCGCUACUGCAGCACUGCUGCAGAAUUGUUAAUUUCCUUCUCCUCUGAAUGUCAUUUCACUACUACUCUAUGUGGAUAUACCAGCUUGUUCAGAAAUACAUCGUGCAUUUCAAAUAUACUACUAGUUUAUGGGGGAGAAAGGCAGAUACCUUAUGUGGAUAGUCUAACUCUUAGGCAAAGUAUUUAAGACAGCUCAAAUAAUUACUUUUGAAAAGGUCUCAUCCUCUGUAAAUUCACCACUAAAUUUCAUUAUCUAUUCAGAAAAAAAGAAAAACAACAACCAUAACUUGAUACAUAUGAAUGUAUUAUAAACACAUUUCUGAUGAAGAAAGUAGACGUGAUGCAAAAAGAAACAAGUUAUUUCACAUUCAGCUCUUUUGCUCUGUAACCUCAUAAAACUCUGGUGUCUAGUGCUACUCUCCACACUACAGAUACAGUAGCAAUUGUUGCAUAUGUGUCCUCGUCAAGCUCAAGAGACUGAUCUGAGUGUUUGCGGUUGUUUGAUACCUCUAAUUAUACCUUGCCAAAUCCAUAACAUACCACCUCUUCUUGUAAUAAAAGCCUAACUUCAUUAUUAACUGUGUGUGUGUGACUGCAGCUGGACAAAAAAAAAAAAAAAAAAAAAAAAAAGCUUUAGUUUUAUUUACUUGUUCCUUACAGACAAAGCCACUGAGCUUCAUUUUACCAAAAACUACUUAGGAAUUGAAGAAUUUAUAAUUCCUGUUGCUUCAAAUAUAGCCGGAGAGGUUCAUACUGUCUGAUACUUUCCAAAUGUAUUUUUCUGACUUCUAAUAGAAGGUUCUGUAACUGCCCUAGAUUCGUUUUCAUUUUACGAACUUCACCAAUGAACUAAAGUAUAGGCAUAUCUGGUGAUAUUCCUUCUAGUGUAGGAUCUUCAUGAAUAUAUCAGAUAUCUGCAACACUCACUUUGCUACUUAGAUUACAGGUUAGAAAAUUCAAGCAACAUCUCCUUUCUUUAUACAAUGUAAUGAAUGUCUUUGGUUCUGUAAACCAAGUACCAGGCUAUAUAUUUACUAAUUAUUAAAUGUUUUUCUUCAUCAAAUCUACUUUAUUGUAUAUAUAUUUUUUUUUUCUUGUAGAAUGAAAUCUUACAGUACAUUGUUCUAUUGCUUCAUAUUUUUAUAUUUUUUUAAUUAAAAUUAUUAUUUUAUUUCUCUUUCCUUUUGUGGCUUUAAUUAUUACCUCUUGAAUAGCUGGUAUGUCAUUAUUGACAAAGCAUACUGUAACUUUUCAGUCUGAAUCACCAGUUCAGCAUCCCCAGCUGAUUGUGCCAGAAGAACCCAUUGUUUGAGCUAUUACCCAAAUACUAUAUGCCACAGAAAAUCAAUACAGAUUUAUGAAUUUGAAAUAAAAUGGUGAUGCAUAGUAAAGGCAGCUGAUUUCCCUGAGGAAUAAUUCCAUCAAAUAGUUUUAAAUUCAAAAAUAAUAGCUCAUAUUUUGCUUUUUGUGAAACGUUAUUGAAAACUUAAAAAUAAUAGAGGAU